CUCAAAGUGCCCCGUUUCUCUACAGCAAAUUAGACUUUUUGCCUACUUUGGUGCUGAGAAGCCCAAACUACCAACCAAAGCUUUGGUUUUCUCUGAGGGCUGUCGGUACAGACGAGAGGCCGGGAUUGUUCUCUAGCAACCCCUGCCGGUUGACAAUAAAUGCCAGAAACUGACCCAGAGACAUUAGUUCAUCCCCACGUUGGAGGGAAGUAAAAGAUGUCAGGCUGAGGGAGAGCAGGUAGCACCUGAACAGAGAGUGUUGGAUGCAGAUGUGAGUUCUGGAACUGUGAUGGUCAUUUUGUUACCACGAGCAGACCCUGCCUGAAGAUGAAGGAAUGUAGAACUGACAAAGACACAGAAAGAUGGAGCCAGAAUCCUGCUCUAAAUUACUGAGAAGCAAAUGGAACCACGUUACAAAUAUUUCACAAGAACCAGUACCAUACCUUUAAACAUCUUGAUUAUGAUCUACUUGACAGUCAUAUUUGAGUUGUUACUCUGUAUAACAUAGGAGUUGGGCUACACCUUCAGAAUAACUGGCAAAGCACCACCAACUGGCUGUGUCCUGAGAGGCUACCCAGCAACCUGGCUUUUUGUCUAUCAGACGCCCACUCUUCAUUGGACCAUAGAGGUUUUUCUCCCUAGUCCUCACCUCCAGCUCACUCCGCCAAGUUAUUAGGAGUCUCUGAAAGAAACACGGAACACCCAGAACAGAAAGCCAAUUGUCUAAUU
rnacentral:lncRNA from 1 species